AUUGAACGCUGGCGGCAGGCCUAACACAUGCAAGUCGAGCGGCAGCGGGUCCUUCGGGAUGCCGGCGAGCGGCGGACGGGUGAGUAAUGCCUAGGAAUCUGCCUGGUAGUGGGGGAUAACGUUCGGAAACGGACGCCAAUACCGCAUACGUCCUACGGGAGAAAGUGGGGGAUCUUCGGACCUCACGCUAUCAGAUGAGCCUAGGUCGGAUUAGCUAGUUGGUGGGGUAAAGGCUCACCAAGGCGACGAUCCGUAACUGGUCUGAGAGGAUGAUCAGUCACACUGGAACUGAGACACGGUCCAGACUCCUACGGGAGGCAGCAGUGGGGAAUAUUGGACAAUGGGCGAAAGCCUGAUCCAGCCAUGCCGCGUGUGUGAAGAAGGUCUUCGGAUUGUAAAGCACUUUAAGUUGGGAGGAAGGGCAGCUAGUUAAUACCUGGUUGUUUUGACGUUACCAACAGAAUAAGCACCGGCUAACUUCGUGCCAGCAGCCGCAGUAACAC
rnacentral:rRNA from 1 species